rnacentral:rRNA from 1 species
UGGCUCAGGACGAGCGCUGGCGGCGUGCUUAACACAUGCAAGUCGAGCGAUGAAGCUUCUUCGGAAGUGGAUUAGCGGCGGACGGGUGAGUAACACGUGGGUAACCUGCCUCAUAGAGGGGAAUAGCCUUCCGAAAGGAAGAUUAAUACCGCAUAAGAUUGUAAUAUCGCAUGAUAUAGCAAUUAAAGGAGUAAUCCGCUAUGAGAUGGACCCGCGUCGCAUUAGCUAGUUGGUGAGGUAACGGCUCACCAAGGCGACGAUGCGUAGCCGACCUGAGAGGGUGAUCGGCCACAUUGGGACUGAGACACGGCCCAGACUCCUACGGGAGGCAGCAGUGGGGAAUAUUGCACAAUGGGGGAAACCCUGAUGCAAGCAACGCCGCGUGAGUGAUGACGGUCUUCGGAUUGUAAAGCUCUGUCUUCAGGGACGAUAAUGACGGUACCUGAGGAGGAAGCCACGGCUAACUACGUGCCAGCCGCCGC